GGGUGCGUACCUCAGUUGGUCAGAGAGAUCCGCUGAUAACGGAUUCGUCGGAGGUUCGAGUCCUCCCGUGCCCA
rfam:Halorientalis sp. IM1011, complete genome.